rnacentral:rRNA from 1 species
GACGAACGCUGGCGGCGUGCCUAAUACAUGCAAGUCGAGCGAACCCGGGGUGCUUGCACCCUGAGGGUUAGCGGCGGACGGGUGAGUAACACGUGGGGAACCUGCCUUGCUGUCUGGGAUAACACCGGGAAACCGGUGCUAAUACCGGAUGUCCGCUUUCCGGCACCUGCCGGAGAGGGAAAAGGCGGCGUUGAGCCGCCGCAGCACGAGGGGCCCGCGGCGCAUUAGUUAGUUGGCAGGGUAACGGCCUCCCAAGGCGACGAUGCGUAGCCGACCUGAGAGGGUGAUCGGCCACACUGGGACUGAGACACGGCCCAGACUCCUACGGGAGGCAGCAGUAGGGAAUCAUCCGCAAUGGACGAAAGUCUGACGGUGCAACGCCGCGUGAGUGAUGAAGGUUUUCGGAUCGUAAAGCUCUGUUGUGAGGGAAGAAUAGGAUGGGGAGGAAAUGCCCGAUCUGUGACGGUACCUCACCAGAAAGCCCCGGCUAACUACGUGCCAGCCGCCGCGGUAA